CCUACGGGGAGCAGCAGUGGGGAAUAUUGGACAAUGGGGGGAACCCUGAUCCAGCGACGCCGCGAGAGUGAAGAAGUAUUUCUGUAUGUAAAGCUCUAUCAGCAGGGACGAAAGAAAUGACGGUACCUGACUAAGAAGCCCCGGCUAACUACGUGCCAGCAGCCGCUGUAAUACGUAGGGGGCAAGCGUUAUCCGGAUUUACUGGGUGUACAGGUAGCUUAGACGGCGAUGCAAGUCUGAAGUGAAAGGCGGGGGACCAACCCCCGGACUGCUUUGGAAACUGUAUGGCUGGAGUGCAGGAGAGGUAAGUGGAAUUCCGAGUGUAGCGGUGAAAUGCGUAGAUAUUAGGAGGAACACCAGUGGCGAAGGCGGCUUACUGGACUGUAACUGACGUUGAGGCUCGAAAGCGUGGGGAGCAAACAGGAUUAGAUACCCGUGUAGUC
rnacentral:rRNA from 1 species